CCAUGUCACUGGUGUGGCGGUGGUUUCUUCGUUUACAUGUGCAAUGGCGAUGUGUGAACGUCAGUGUCAGAACUCUCUCUUUAUGAUUAAAAAGGUUUGUUUUGUUCCUGCCCUUUUCAGACACUGAAUUUGAGCAGAAACCAUAAGGAUACUCAAAGGACCUGUGACUCUCAGGAAAUGCAUCAAAUGAGAGGGACAGAUGAAACAGUUUCAAGACAAUGGCAGGAAAAACAUGCUGAAGAUUGAAACAAACCUUGGCUGGAAAUAUUUGAAGGUAUCUAGCCAGUCCACAAUGAAAGCUUCGUUGCACCCCAUGAGUCUUCUGGCAGAAAUGAUGGCGCCAGUAUUCUUUGGUUUCCCUAAACAUCACACCCUGCCUGUUUAUACGAGGCUCUUCAAUUAAGUCUGCACCCAAAGAUUCAAUAAGAGGUAAGCAGUGGUAUUAUUCAAGUUUUGCUAAAGAAAGAUGGACAGGAGACACUAAUCUUAAUCAGCCGAGCUCAGGUUCAUGUCCAGGUGAGCAGU